rnacentral:rRNA from 1 species
AGCGGCGGAUGGGUGAGUAACACGUGGGGAACCUGCCCCUAAGUCUGGGAUACCAUUUGGAAACAGGUGCUAAUACCGGAUAAUAAAGCAGAUCGCAUGAUCAGCUUUUGAAAGGCGGCGUAAGCUGUCGCUAAGGGAUGGCCCCGCGGUGCAUUAGCUAGUUGGUAAGGUAACGGCUUACCAAGGCGACAAUGCAUAGCCGAGUUGAGAGACUGAUCGGCCACAUUGGGACUGAGACACGGCCCAAACUCCUACGGGAGGCAGCAGUAGGGAAUCUUCCACAAUGGACGCAAGUCUGAUGGAGCAACGCCGCGUGAGUGAAGAAGGUUUUCGGAUCGUAAAGCUCUGUUGUUGGUGAAGAAGGAUAGAGGUAGUAACUGGCCUUUAUUUGACGGUAAUCAACCAGAAAGUCACGGCUAACUACGUGCCAGCAGCCGCGGUAAUACGUAGGUGGCAAGCGUUGUCCGGAUUUAUUGGGCGUAAAGCGAGCGCAGGCGGAAAAAUAAGUCUAAUGUGAAAGCCCUCGGCUUAACCGAGGAACUGCAUCGGAAACUGUUUUUCUUGAGUGCAGAAGAGGAGAGUGGAACUCCAUGUGUAGCGGUGGAAUGCGUAGAUAUAUGGAAGAACACCAGUGGCGAAGGCGGCUCUCUGGUCUGCAACUGACGCUGAGGCUCGAAAGCAUGGGGUAGCGAACAGGAUUAGAUACCCUGGUAGUCCAUGCCGUAAACGAUGAGUGCUAAGUGU